rnacentral:rRNA from 1 species
GACGAACGCUGGCGGCGUGCCUAAUACAUGCAAGUAGAACGCUGAAGGAGGAGCUUGCUUCUCUGGAUGAGUUGCGAACGGGUGAGUAACGCGUAGGUAACCUGCCUGGUAGCGGGGGAUAACUAUUGGAAACGAUAGCUAAUACCGCAUAAUAUUGACUAUUGCAUGAUAGUCAGUUGAAAGGUGCAACUGCACCACUACCAGAUGGACCUGCGUUGUAUUAGCUAGUUGGUGGGGUAACGGCUCACCAAGGCGACGAUACAUAGCCGACCUGAGAGGGUGAGCGGCCACACUGGGACUGAGACACGGCCCAGACUCCUACGGGAGGCAGCAGUAGGGAAUCUUCGGCAAUGGACGGAAGUCUGACCGAGCAACGCCGCGUGAGUGAAGAAGGUUUUCGGAUCGUAAAGCUCUGUUGUAAGAGAAGAACGAGUGUGAGAGUGGAAAGCUCACACUGUGACGGUAUCUUACCAGAAAGGGACGGCUAACUACGUG